GACGAACGCUGGCGGCGUGCCUAACACAUGCAAGUCGUACGCUUGUAAAAGCGUGGCGAACGGGUGAGUAUAAGCAAGGAACAUGCCUUAUUCCGGGAAAUACCCAGCCGAAAGGUUGGCUAAUGUCCCAUAGUCUCGCAAGAGUAAAGCUCCGGCGGAAUAAGAUUGGCCUUGCUCCUAUCAGCUAGUUGGUGAGGUAAAGGCUUACCAAGGCUUCGACGGGUAGCUGGUCUGAGAGGAUGAUCAGCCACAAUGGGACUGAGACACGGCCCAUACACCUACGGGUGGCAGCAGUUGGGAAUAUUGCGCAAUGGACGACAGUCUGACGCAGCGACGCCGCGUGAAGGAUGAAGGUUUUCG
rnacentral:rRNA from 1 species